rnacentral:tRNA from 1 species
UGGUGUGGCUCAGUGGUAGAGCACAUAAUUAGGAUGUAUGCGGCCCUGGAUUCAAUCCCCAGCACCA